AGACAAGUCCGAGAAACAUUCUUCUAAUGUGUUCAUCCAACAGAACUUUAAGUAAUCUGGGUCAUUGAAUAAUUGAUGAAAUGAUAUUAAUUUGCACUUUUGAAUCUUUGUCAUCCUAUAUUAGAUUUUCAUGCACUUACAUUUCUAAUUUAUUUGGCUCAAAUAAUUAACUCUACAAGCUUCAAAAUAAUAGAAAAGGCAGAUCACAGGAUAAGACUGGCAGGCCAAAUUAGUGCCAGAAGGAUUGUACUUCUGGGAUUUUUUAUUUAUUUAUUUAUUUGAAUUAGAGCUGCCUAGUGUGUCUUCGUGGCUUGUUCAACAUGCAUGAAAUUGUGGAUCAAAAACUUGUUUGUCCUAAUAAUUCAUUGCCCAAUUUGUGGAAAUUGGACAGCUUGACGUCAAUUUUCCCUUUUAAUUCCUAAGAAAUUUUCUGGGUGUUGCCAUAUCUUUUGGAAAUGAUUUAAUCUCAAGGUCUUCUUCAUGAACUCUUGUCUUUGCAGAAAUCAAAAUCAAACCCCUAAGUUUCAAAAUAUGUUGUUUUGAAGACUUUCUUUGAACUUCUUUGUUUGUGGAUUUUAAAAUUGCUUAAAACAAGUGUUUAUGUAGUGGAUUAAGUUUAUAUUAUCCCAUAAACUUUUAAUUUUUCAUGAUGUGGUACUUGAACUUAAAUUUUCACAAUUAAGCGCUCAAGCUUUAAAAAAUUUGUUGAAUUUGAACCUCAUGCUUGCAAAAUAAUUCAUUCCCCUAUGCACCUCGUGCGCUUGUUUCAGAAGAUAUCAGCAAAAGGUUGCUGGCUAUCCUAAAAUGGUGGCUGACAAGAGUUAUUUUCCAUUGCUGGUUAUUCUUUGUUGAUCUGUUGCAUUUUCUUAAUGAUUCUCUAGUUUGUGUACUUGUGGGAAAAAAAUCGAUUAUUCUGUGGCUUUUGUUGAAUAAUAUAGUUUUACUUGGCAUCGUCACAGGAUUUUAGUGCUUCAAUGUUCACUAUUAGACUUAUUCAAUGAGCAUAUGAUAAAACUCGUUAACUUGUUGCAAAUAGAGUAAUGUGUGUAACUUUUAAUUGAACUUGAAGAUUUUGUCGCAAAUCUUGUAGGCAUCUGACACCAAUUUUUGGAUGUUGAUUUUUCUGCGAAUUUGUCUACACCACCUCCAGCAAAUGGUUUAAGCUAUUCAUAAUUGGUUUCUGUUCUCACUUGUUUUUUAGGGACCGUCAUGUUAAAUCAUUUGAGUGCAUCCUUUUCGUGUCAUCUAUUUGUGAUGUGCUGAUUUGAAGCAUUUUUAACUUGUUUUGCUGAUUAACAGGUAGUUUACAUGGCAAUUGU
rnacentral:misc_RNA from 1 species